rnacentral:tRNA from 1 species
GCUCCUUUAGUUCAAUGGAUAGAACAUUGCUCUUCUAAGGCAAGUGUUGGGAGUUCGAGCCUCUCAAGGAGUA